rnacentral:rRNA from 1 species
GACGUUGAUAGGUCGGGUGUGUAAGUGUAGCGAUACAUUGAGCUAACCGAUACUAAUGAACCGUGAGGCUUAACCUUACAACGCCGAAGGUGUUU